rnacentral:rRNA from 1 species
GGAGUCUGGGCCGUGUCUCAGUCCCAAUGUGGCCGUCCACCCUCUCAGGCCGGCUACCGAUCGUCGCUUUGGUGGGCCUUUGCCCCGCCAACUGGCUAAUCGGACGCGGGCCCAUCCCUUGGCGGCGGCCCUAGGGCCGCUUUUCCUGCCCCGGCCAUGCGGCCGGGACACCUUACGCGGUAUUAGCACCGCUUUCGCGGUGUUGUCCCCCUCCAAGGGGCAGGUUGCCCACGCGUUACUCACCCGUUCGCCACUUGGGCUAUACUAGCAAGCUACUAUAGCCCCCGUUCGACUUGCAUGUGUUAGGCGCGCCGCCAGCGUUCGUC